rnacentral:rRNA from 1 species
UACGAAGGGGGGCUAGCGUUGUUCGGAUUUACUGGGCGUAAAGCGCACGUAGGCGGAUCUUUAAGUCGGGGGUGAAAUCCUGGAGCUCAACUCCAGAACUGCCUUUGAUACUGAGGAUCUUGAGUUCGGGAGAGGUGAGUGGAACUGCGAGUGUAGAGGUGAAAUUCGUGAUAUAUCGAAGAACACCAGUGGCGAAGGCGGCUCACUGGCCCGAUACUGACGCUGAGGCACGAAAGCGUGGGGAGCAACAGGG